GCCGCCGCCGCCGCCAUGGAGAACGCGCACACAAAGACGGUGGAGGAGGUGCUGGGCCACUUCGGCGUCAACGAGAGCACGGGGCUGAGCCUGGAGCAGGUCAAGAAGCUCAAGGAGAAGUGGGGCUCCAACGAGCUGCCGGCUGAGGAAGGGAAAACCUUGCUGGAACUUGUGAUCGAGCAGUUCGAAGACCUACUCGUGAGAAUUUUAUUGCUGGCAGCGUGUAUAUCUUUUGUUUUGGCUUGGUUUGAAGAAGGCGAAGAAACAAUUACAGCCUUUGUGGAACCCUUCGUAAUCUUACUUAUAUUGGUAGCCAACGCCAUUGUGGGUGUGUGGCAGGAAAGAAAUGCUGAAAAUGCCAUUGAAGCCCUUAAGGAGUAUGAGCCAGAAAUGGGCAAAGUGUAUCGGCAGGACAGAAAGAGCGUACAACGAAUCAAAGCUAAAGACAUAGUUCCUGGGGACAUUGUAGAGAUUGCUGUUGGUGACAAAGUUCCUGCUGAUAUCAGAUUAACUUCAAUCAAAUCUACUACUCUAAGAGUUGAUCAGUCCAUCCUCACAGGUGAAUCAGUCUCCGUCAUCAAGCACACUGACCCUGUCCCUGAUCCACGUGCUGUCAACCAGGACAAAAAGAACAUGCUCUUCUCUGGGACAAACAUUGCUGCCGGCAAAGCCAUGGGCGUGGUGGUGGCAACCGGGGUUAACACUGAAAUCGGCAAGAUUCGGGAUGAGAUGGUGGCCACAGAACAGGAGAGAACACCCCUCCAGCAGAAACUGGAUGAGUUCGGGGAGCAGCUGUCCAAAGUCAUCUCCCUCAUUUGCAUUGCCGUCUGGAUCAUAAACAUCGGCCACUUCAAUGACCCGGUUCACGGCGGCUCCUGGAUCAGAGGCGCUAUUUACUACUUCAAAAUCGCUGUGGCCCUGGCCGUAGCGGCCAUUCCCGAAGGACUGCCUGCCGUCAUCACCACCUGCCUUGCUCUGGGAACUCGAAGAAUGGCAAAGAAAAAUGCGAUUGUUCGCAGUCUCCCUUCCGUGGAAACUCUUGGUUGUACUUCCGUCAUCUGCUCAGAUAAGACUGGUACUCUUACGACAAACCAGAUGUCGGUCUGCAGGAUGUUCAUCCUGGACAAAGUUGAAGGUGAUACUUGCUCCCUUAAUGAGUUUACAAUAACGGGGUCAACUUACGCACCUAUUGGAGAAGUGCAUAAAGAUGAUAAGCCAGUGAAAUGUCAUCAAUAUGAUGGUCUUGUAGAGUUGGCAACAAUUUGUGCUCUUUGUAAUGACUCUGCGCUGGAUUACAAUGAGGCAAAAGGUGUGUAUGAAAAAGUUGGAGAAGCAACGGAGACUGCCCUCACUUGCCUGGUAGAGAAGAUGAAUGUAUUUGAUACUGAAUUGAAAGGUCUCUCUAAAAUAGAACGCGCAAACGCCUGCAACUCGGUCAUUAAACAGUUGAUGAAAAAAGAAUUCACGCUCGAGUUUUCACGUGACAGAAAGUCCAUGUCAGUUUACUGUACACCGAACAAACCAAGCCGGACAUCAAUGAGCAAAAUGUUUGUGAAGGGUGCUCCUGAGGGCGUGAUUGACAGGUGCACCCACAUCCGAGUUGGAAGCACUAAAGUCCCUUUGACCCCUGGGGUCAAACAGAAGAUCAUGUCUGUCAUCCGGGAAUGGGGGAGUGGCAGCGACACCCUGCGGUGCCUGGCACUGGCGACUCAUGACAAUCCACUGAGAAGAGAAGAGAUGAACCUUGAGGACUCUGCCAACUUCAUUAAAUAUGAGACCAAUCUGACUUUCGUUGGCUGCGUGGGCAUGCUGGACCCCCCAAGAAUUGAAGUGGCUUCUUCUGUAAAACUGUGCCGACAAGCAGGUAUCCGGGUCAUCAUGAUCACAGGGGACAAUAAGGGCACUGCAGUAGCCAUCUGUCGCCGCAUUGGCAUCUUUGGGCAAGAAGAGGAUGUGACAUCAAAAGCUUUUACCGGACGAGAGUUUGAUGAGCUCAGUCCAUCAGCACAGAGAGAUGCCUGCUUGAAUGCCCGUUGUUUCGCUCGUGUGGAGCCAUCUCACAAGUCUAAAAUUGUAGAAUUUCUUCAGUCUUUCGAUGAGAUCACAGCUAUGACUGGAGACGGUGUCAAUGAUGCGCCUGCUCUGAAGAAAUCGGAGAUCGGCAUCGCCAUGGGCUCUGGUACUGCAGUAGCCAAAACUGCAUCAGAGAUGGUGCUUGCGGAUGACAACUUCUCCACCAUCGUGGCUGCUGUUGAGGAGGGGCGGGCAAUCUAUAACAACAUGAAGCAGUUCAUCCGCUACCUCAUCUCCUCCAACGUGGGGGAAGUUGUCUGUAUUUUCCUGACAGCGGCCCUUGGCUUUCCUGAGGCUUUAAUUCCUGUCCAGCUGCUUUGGGUCAAUCUGGUGACAGAUGGCCUGCCUGCCACUGCAUUGGGGUUCAACCCUCCCGAUCUAGACAUCAUGAAUAAACCACCCAGGAACCCAAAGGAACCACUGAUCAGCGGGUGGCUCUUCUUCCGUUACCUGGCUAUUGGCUGUUAUGUUGGCGCUGCUACUGUGGGUGCUGCUGCCUGGUGGUUCAUUGCUGCCGAUGGUGGUCCAAGAGUGUCCUUCUACCAGCUGAGUCAUUUCCUACAGUGUAAAGAGGACAAUCCGGACUUUGAAGGCGUGGAUUGUGCAAUCUUUGAGUCUCCAUACCCAAUGACAAUGGCGCUCUCUGUGCUAGUAACCAUAGAGAUGUGUAACGCACUCAACAGCUUGUCUGAAAACCAGUCCCUGCUAAGGAUGCCUCCUUGGGAGAAUAUCUGGCUCGUGGGCUCCAUCUGCUUGUCCAUGUCACUCCACUUCCUGAUCCUCUACGUGGAGCCCUUGCCCCUUAUCUUCCAGAUCACACCACUGAAUUUGACCCAGUGGCUGAUGGUGCUGAAAAUCUCCUUGCCUGUGAUUCUGAUGGAUGAGACACUCAAGUUUGUGGCCCGCAACUAUCUGGAACAACCUGGUAAAGAGUGUGUGCAGCCUGCCACCAAAUCCUGCUCGUUUUCGGCUUGCACCGAUGGGAUUUCCUGGCCGUUUGUGCUGCUCAUAAUGCCCCUGGUGAUCUGGGUCUAUAGCACAGACACUAACUUUAGUGACAUGUUCUGGUCUUGACUGACAGUUUUACAUAAAGAAGAUGUUUAACUUAAUCAAUUAAUUUUUUUAUUGUUUAAAGCAACUUGUCUAUUUCUGCUGAAUUUUCACAUGAACAUAUUGGCUGGUGAAGGAGGUUUCAUACUCUAGAUUUUGUUUUGCUUUUUCUGACUCCAGUGGGGCAAGAUUUUCCUUUUUUUAUACACAUAAUUAAAGUGGCCAUUGACAUGUACAGAGAACUAACACUAUUUUAUGCAAAUAUUUUUUUGUAGAUGAAAAAGCAUGUACAGUGUUCUGUUUAAUACAUCCUUGUAUAAAAAAAUAGUUGAGCCAGCAGACAUUGUCAGCAAAUUAAUUGGCAGCAGAUUUUAGGAAAUGAAUGUGUGUGGUGUUUUUCUAAAACUAAAUAGCAUGUAUUGUGUCUUUUGCAUGAUCAUUUGGAUUUAAUCUGAGAUCACAGUCUAAUUUUACCAUAAGCCAAUUUUUCUGCACUGAGCAGAGUACUGCUACCUCAGUCAGUAUUUUUUUGAUUUGCCGCUCCCCUCACCCUCUCCACCCUGUUCACCCCACCCACUCCCCGGCCCUGCUCAGCUGCUUCUCCUGUAGGGUUUCCAUGGUUCUGUUUACAUCGGUCUUAAGAGGUAUGCCUGUUCUCGCUUGUGCAGAAAACAUUGUUCCAGAUUCAGUCAAAUGAGUUCAUGUCCCCUCACAUAGUUUUUAAAGUUAUUUAUUUAAAUGUCUAAAUGUAUUUUAUUGUAACAGACAUUGUUUUGCCAACAUUGCCUAUUCCAGUGGCACUUCAUAAUCUAGUUUAAACAGGAAAAUAAAACAUUUUAAAUGGACAGAGAAAAAUAACGGUCUUGUUUUUAACUCUUCAAGUGGCUUAGCUUCAACUGCGAUAGAUGUCCAACUUUCUCUUAAGUUCUUAGGACUUUAAUCUUACUAUGCUAAAGGGGAAGAAAGAUCUGUUCUGCUGCAUUAGUAGCUGUAGGAAUUUUCUUAUUUUUUUAUGUAUAGGCACUAAUUGUCAUCAGUGUACAUUUUAUGCAAGUUUCUGCUGGCCUGUUUUAGAGAACCUGGUGUAGAGAACAUAAGGGCAAGUGUGUGUAUGUGCGUGUAUGUGUUUUGUAAAAUCUGUAAAUAGCACAUGACCAAAUGAACAUAUUGUAUAGAACUAUUUUUAUUUGACUGUGGCACUAACCACCACCAUCAUAAAUGUUUGCGCAUGUUCAAGAUCAGUCUUACCAACAGUGUAUAAGUCAUUAACAGUCCUAACUGUGGUGUUUUUCUCCAAUGCCUUCCAACAUCCGUCAACUAACCAAUACUGGAGUAACCGCUUCCUAAACCAUUUUGCAGAAAUAUAAGGGCGUUCGGUUGCGUGCAUGUGCGUUUUUAGCAACACAUCUACCAGCCCUCUGCAUGAUUGAGGUUGGGGGAAAAGAAAAGUAGAAAAAAGCCCCCGACUCCUUGUGUGUUAUGUGGAGGAAAUGUGUAUUACCAGUGGGGGUUUUAGCUUUUAAAGUAAUUACAAAUGUACAAUUUAACUCAAUCAGAAAGUCUCUCCAGAGAAAUUUGGUUUCUUUGCCGCAAGAAGGUUCUGAAACCUUAGAAGCCAUCAGCCAAGUCUCCAUAUUUUUCUGUGCAAAAUGUCAUAGCUUAUAAAAAUGUUUAAUCAAUUGUAAUGCAUGCCUUCAGUUGUAAGUAGCCAGAUUUCUCUACACUGUUAAUGAAAUGCUACUUUUUAAUUGGCCCUGUACAGUUUGCUUAUUUAUAAAUUUAUGGAAACACUACAGGUGUUGAAUGGUUAAAAUGUAGGCCUUCAGUUAACUUGUUAUUUUUUGAGUGUGCAAACAGCUAUUUUGCACUGUAUCAAAUGUAACUUAUUUAAUGAAAUCAGAAGCAGUAGACAGAUGUGGUGCAAUACAACUAUUGUGAUGCAUUUAUCUUAAUAAAAUGCUAAAUGUCAAUUUAUCACAACGCAUGUUUGACUAGACUGUAAAUAGAGAUCAGUUAUUUCUGUGCUGGUAACAAGCAUCGCACAGACAUGGUUUCAGGUAAAUAAAUCUAUUCUACGAUAA